rnacentral:rRNA from 2 species
CUGAAAUCAGGCGGGAUUACCCGCUGAACUUAAGCAUAUCAAUAAGCGGAGGAAA